GACGAACGCUGGCGGCGUGCUUAACACAUGCAAGUCGAGCGGUAAGGCCCUUUCGGGGGUACACGAGCGGCGAACGGGUGAGUAACACGUGGGUGACCUGCCCUCAGCUCUGGGAUAAGCCUGGGAAACCGGGUCUAAUACCGGAUAUGACUCCAUGACGCAUGUUGUGGGGUGGAAAGCCUUGUGCGGCUGAGGAUGGGCCCGCGGCCUAUCAGCUUGUUGGUGGGGUGAUGGGCCUACCAAGGCGACGACGGGUAGCCGGCCUGAGAGGGCGACCGGCCACACUGGGACUGAGACACGGCCCAGACUCCUACGGGAGGCAGCAGUGGGGAAUCUUGCGCAAUGGGCGAAAGCCUGACGCAGCGACGCCGCGUGAGGGAUGACGGCCU
rnacentral:rRNA from 1 species